CAGGCUUAACACAUGCAAGUCGAGGGGCAGCAUGGUCUUAGCUUGCUAAGGCCGAUGGCGACCGGCGCACGGGUGAGUAACACGUAUCCAACCUGCCGUCUACUCUUGGACAGCCUUCUGAAAGGAAGAUUAAUACAAGAUGGCAUCAUGAGUCCGCAUGUUCACAUGAUUAAAGGUAUUCCGGUAGACGAUGGGGAUGCGUUCCAUUAGAUAGUAGGCGGGGUAACGGCCCACCUAGUCUUCGAUGGAUAGGGGUUCUGAGAGGAAGGUCCCCCACAUUGGAACUGAGACACGGUCCAAACUCCUACGGGAGGCAGCAGUGAGGAAUAUUGGUCAAUGGGCGAGAGCCUGAACCAGCCAAGUAGCGUGAAGGAUGACUGCCCUAUGGGUUGUAAACUUCUUUUAUAAAGGAAUAAAGUCGGGUAUGGAUACCCGUUUGCAUGUACUUUAUGAAUAAGGAUCGGCUAACUCCGUGCCAGCAGCCGCGGUAAUACGGAGGAUCCGAGCGUUAUCCGGAUUUAUUGGGUUUAAAGGGAGCGUAGAUGGAUGUUUAAGUCAGUUGUGAAAGUUUGCGGCUCAACCGUAAAAUUGCAGUUGAUACUGGAUAUCUUGAGUGCAGUUGAGGCAGGCGGAAUUCGUGGUGUAGCGGUGAAAUGCUUAGAUAUCACGAAGAACUCCGAUUGCGAAGGCAGCCUGCUAAGCUGCAACUGACAUUGAGGCUCGAAAGUGUGGGUAUCAAACAGGAUUAGAUACCCUGGUAGUCCACACGGUAAACGAUGAAUACUCGCUGUUUGCGAUAUACUGCAAGCGGCCAAGCGAAAGCGUUAAGUAUUCCACCUGGGGAGUACGCCGGCAACGGUGAAACUCAAAGGAAUUGACGGGGGCCCGCACAAGCGGAGGAACAUGUGGUUUAAUUCGAUGAUACGCGAGGAACCUUACCCGGGCUUAAAUUGCAGAUGAAUUACGGUGAAAGCCGUAAGCCGCAAGGCAUCUGUGAAGGUGCUGCAUGGUUGUCGUCAGCUCGUGCCGUGAGGUGUCGGCUUAAGUGCCAUAACGAGCGCAACCCUUGUUGUCAGUUACUAACAGGUUCCGCUGAGGACUCUGACAAGACUGCCAUCGUAAGAUGUGAGGAAGGUGGGGAUGACGUCAAAUCAGCACGGCCCUUACGUCCGGGGCUACACACGUGUUACAAUGGGGGGUACAGAGGGUCGCUACCACGCGAGUGGAUGCCAAUCCCCAAAACCUCUCUCAGUUCGGACUGGAGUCUGCAACCCGACUCCACGAAGCUGGAUUCGCUAGUAAUCGCGCAUCAGCCACGGCGCGGUGAAUACGUUCCCGGGCCUUGUACACACCGCCCGUCAAGCCAUGGGAGCCGGGGGUACCUGAAGUGCGUAACCGCGAGGAGCGCCCUAGGGUAAAACUGGUGACUGGGGC
rnacentral:rRNA from 1 species